UCCCUCGGCAACUUAAAAUUAGCCAUCUCAGCAAAAUAAUUUAUGAGUUGUUCCCAUUAGGGCCAUGCUCUGCUCCUCUAUACUAGCCACUUAUGAUAGUCCCUAUCUUUAGCAACUGUAUAGAACCAGCUGAAGACAUGGGAUCCUUACACACAUUCACAUCACCAUCCUCAGAAUUGCUUGGCCCUAGGUGGAGCCAGUAUACAUGAAACUGAAGAGCUAUUGAGCACCAUAAUGAUGCUUAAAAUAGUCGCAGGAUCUGACCCAUAGAGAUAUGUAGAAUGACAUCUGAAGCAAGGCAAAGACUCCACCUAAACAACAAAGGGCCUUGUCCUGCAAGAUGGUAAGCAAGCUUUAAUUAUAGUCAGUUGGAAUUAAAAUGGUGCUCAGAUGUUGCUCAGCACCAUACAUGACACAAUGUUGAGGCAUGUGCUCAAAAUACUGGCAUGUUUUUGUACUGAUAUCCUUUGCUGCCUGUCCAAGCAGCUGCAGUGAGGUGAUAAACGGCAGAGUUGGCAAAGUCCUUUCCUGCAAGAGACAAGCCCUUACACAUAUAUGAAGAGAGGAAGAUGAGGCCCAUGUAAAACAGAUAUUGGAGGAGGUAUCAGCAAGGCAGGAGGAGAAACAUGAAAAUGCAGAGCAAGAGGGGUCAAGAGAAGAAAAAGCAUAAAAGGCAAGAAUGUCAAACACCAGAGACAGAUCAAGAAGGAGGAUAAAGAACCAUGUUAGCAACAUAAAAAGAGCUGCCUGCUGCCAUCACAGAUGUACAAAUUUGGUAUCAUCAAGCAGCUCAUUCAUUAUUUUAAAAGGUAGCAAUGUAUUGCAUGAAAGAUUCCGACCAUUGGUCAUCAUCAAGAAGAGGUAAAACAGACCAAACAUUGCUUUUAAAAACUAUAAAUACUUUGAAUUGUUGAAAGAGAUUAAUGAAGAAAAUAUUUGGAAAUGUAUAAUUAGACAGACCUAAAUCCACCAGAUUUUAUUUUCAAUUGGCUUUAACUUGACACUCCUGGUA